GUUAAACGAGAAGACUUUAGAUAUGAUCCAGAGUACCACGGGACACGUGAAACCCUGUGGGAAGCAGGAGGGACCACCCUCCAAGGCUAAAUACUACCUAGUGACCGAUAGCGUAUAGUACCGUGAGGGAAAGGUGAAAAGAACCCCGGGAGGGGAGUGAAAUAGAACCUGAAACCCUGCACUUACAAGCUGUGGAAGCACAUUUCUUGUGUGACCGCGUACUUUUUGUAGAACGGGCCAACGAGUUACGUUAAGUAGCAAGGUUAAGCACUUAAGGUGCGGAGCCGUAGCGAAAGCGAGUUUUAACUGAGCGUUCAGUUACUUGACGUAGACCCGAAACCGGGCGACCUACCCAUGAGCAGGAUGAAGCGAAAGUAAAAUUUCGUGGAGGUCCGAACCCACGAGCGUUGAAAAGCUCGGGGAUGACUUGUGGGUAGCGGUGAAAUUCCAAUCGAGCCCGGAGAUAGCUGGUUCUCCCCGAAAUAGCUUUAGGGCUAGCCUCAAGGUGAGAGAUACGGAGGUAGAGCACUGAAUGUCCUAGGGGGUAUUGCACCUACCGAAGACUAUCAAACUCCGAAUGCCGUCAUCUUAUACUUGGGAGUCAGACUGUGGGUGAUAAGAUUCAUAGUCGAAAGGGCAACAGCCCAGAUCGUCAGCUAAGGUCCCUAAAUGUAAGUUAAGUGGUAAAGGAUGUGGGAUUGCACAGACAACCAGGAUGUUGGCUUAGAAGCAGCCACUCAUUCAAAGAGUGCGUAAUAGCUCACUGGUCGAGUGAUCCUGCGCCGAAGAUUUCCGGGGCUAAAACUUACUACCGAAGCUACGGCAUCAGUAAUGAUGGGUAGGGGAGCUUCCCAUACGGGUUGAAGCAUGACCGUAAGGACAUGUGGACAGUAUGGGAGUGAGAAUGUUGGCAUGAGUAGCGAGAUGUGGGUGAGAAUCCCACAGGCCGUAAACCCAAGGUUUCCAGGGGAAGGUUCGUCCGCCCUGGGUUAGUCGGGACCUAAGCUGAGGCCGAAAGGCGUAGGUGAUGGACAACAGGUUGAUAUUCCUGUAC
rnacentral:rRNA from 1 species